rnacentral:rRNA from 1 species
AUUGAACGCUGGCGGCAUGCUUUACACAUGCAAGUCGAACGGUAACAGGUUAAGCUGACGAGUGGCGAACGGGUGAGUAAUGCAUCGGAACGUGCCCGAGCGUGGGGGAUAACGCAGCGAAAGCUGCGCUAAUACCGCAUACGAUCCGAGGAUGAAAGCGGGGGACCGUAAGGCCUCGCGCGAUCGGAGCGGCCGAAGUCGGAUUAGGUAGUUGGUGGGGUAAAGGCCCACCAAUCCGACGAUCUGUAGCUGGUCUGAGAGGACGACCAGCCCCACUGGGACUGAGACACGGCCCAGACUCCUACGGGAGGCAGCAGUGGGGAAUUUUGGACAAUGGGCGAAAGCCUGAUCCAGCAAUGCCGCGUGCAGGAAGAAGGCCUUCGGGUUGUAAACUGCUUUUGUACGGAGCGAAAAGGUCCUUUCUAAUACAAGGGGCUCAUGACGGUACCGUAAGAAUAAGCACCGGCUAACUACGUGCCAGCAGCCGCCGUAAAAC